AAUCCAUAGGUUAAUGAGGCGAACCGGGGGAACUGAAACAUCUAAGUACCCCGAGGAAAAGAAAUCAACCGAGAUUCCCCCAGUAGCGGCGAGCGAACGGGGAGGAGCCCAGAGCCUGAAUCAGCAUGUGUGUUAGUGGAAGCGUCUGGAAAGGCGCGCGAUACAGGGUGACAGCCCCGUACACAAAAGCGCAUGUGCUGUGAGCUCGAUGAGUAGGGCGGGACACGUGGUAUCCUGUCUGAAUAUGGGGGGACCAUCCUCCAAGGCUAAAUACUCCUGACUGACCGAUAGUGAACCAGUACCGUGAGGGAAAGGCGAAAAGAACCCCGGCGAGGGGAGUGAAAAAGAACCUGAAACCGUGUACGUACAAGCAGUGGGAGCCCCACCACCAAAGCAUUUGCUGUACCGCGUUGACGGAGCGAAGCGACGUCAAACCGAUAAAACAGCAGUGUA
rnacentral:rRNA from 3 species